UAGGGAAUCUUCGGCAAUGGACGAAAGUCUGACCGAGCAACGCCGCGUGAGUGAAGAAGGGUUUCGGCUCGUAAAGCUCUGUUGUUAAAGAAGAACACGUAUGAGAGUAACUGUUCAUACGUUGACGGUAUUUAACCAGAAAGUCACGGCUAACUACGUGCCAA
rnacentral:rRNA from 1 species